rnacentral:rRNA from 1 species
GGGAACAACCACUGGAAACGGUGGCUAAUACCGGAUGUGCCGGAAGGUGAAAGGCUUGCUGCCUGAAGAUGAGCUCGCGUCUGAUUAGCUAGUUGGUGGGGUAAGAGCCUACCAAGGCGACGAUCAGUAGCUGGUCUGAAAGGAUGACCAGCCACACUGGGACUGAAACACGGCCCAGACUCCUACGGGAGGCAGCAGUGGGGAAUUUUCCGCAAUGGGCGAAAGCCUGACGGAGCAAUACCGCGUGAGGGAGGAAGGCUCUUGGGUUGUAAACCUCUUUUCUCAGGGAAAAACACAAUGACGGUACCUGAAGAAUCCCCAUCGGCUAACUCCGUGCCAGCACCCGCGGUAAUACGGAGGAUGCAAGCGUUAUCCGGAAUGAUUGGGCGUAAAGCGUCCGCAGGUGGCUGUGUAAGUCUGCUGUCAAAGAGCGAAGCUCAACUUCAUAAAGGCAGUGGAAACUACAUGGCUAGAGUGCGUUCGGGGCAGAGGGAAUUCCUGGUGUAGCGGUGAAAUGCGUAUAGAUCAAGAAGAACACCGGUGGCGAAGGCGCUCUGCUACGCCGCAACUGACACUGAGGGACGAAAGCUAGGGGAGCGAAUGGGAUUAUAUACCCCAGUAGUCCUAGCUGUAAACGAUGGAUACUAUGCGUGGCUUGUAUCGACCCGAGCCGUGCCGUAACUAACGCGUUAAGUAUCCCGCCUGGGGAGUACGCA